AAGCUUGAAUUAUAUUCGACCCCUUAGGGCCUUUGUCAAGCUUUGUCUGGCAGUCAGUAUAGAGAGAGCCACCUUGACAAAGGCCCUAAGGGGUCGAACCGUUGCUUUC